rnacentral:misc_RNA from 1 species
GGGAGAAGCUGGAGAGAGAAAGGUUGCGGGCCAGAAAGAGAGAGGGGGGUUAGGGGAAUAUGGUGACUCGAGAGAGAGAGUUAUGGCUGUGAUUUUUUAAGACUAUUUUUUUAUUUUUAUUUUAUUUUCUUGGUGAAAUUCACCGGAGGCUUUUAUCGUCGCUGGAGAGGAGAGAAUUCAGAAUUCUCUCUCUUCUGGUGUGUUUCUUCAAUCGGCGAGACGUUUAGUUUUUCAAAGAAGUUUUGUGGUUUUCUGGCGAAGCGUUUCGGGUUCGUUUGUUUUGUAGUCGGCGAGGUGUUGGGGAAAUAUAUAUGACCGUUUGAUCCUCAGAGAUCACGGGAAUUCCCCAUUUUGUUCACAAUGCAGCGGUUCAUUUUAAAAAUCAUUUGAUGUUUUAUUGAAGAUUACUUUCAAAAUUGGUGCUUUUCAUAUCGAUUUGUGCGAUUUCUGUAGUGGAGAUUAUAGAAAGGUUUUGGGCUUUUAACGGAUAUAUAUAUUUUUUUUGCGAAACGAUAAAAGCGGUUUUGGCUUCUGUGCUCAUUCAAGUUUGUUUUCGACUGAUUAUUGGUGGUGGGUUCAUACACAAUUUAAGUGUUGAAAGUUUUGCUUUUGAACUAGCUUUUCUAUUUUUAUGGGUUUCUAAUUUUGGUGGAGAGUGGACUAAAAUUUCUUUGUUCUUACAUACUAAUUGGGUAGUUUUGUAGGGAAAACCAUUUUCUUGUUAUCAUUGAUCGUGCUUUAGUUGUUUUUGGCGGAAUUUGGCUUUUCUUAAUUGCCAUAAUUUGAGAGAGAUUAAUGGGUUUAAUGGGUUGAAAUCUUAAAUUCCUGAUAUUUGAUAUCUGUUUUAGUUUCAUUAAAUGGAGUCGACCUCUUCUUAGUCCGGUGGUUGCUGCAAAAGACGGGAGCUACUUUGCAACAUCGAUUUCGUUUUUGAGAAGUGGGGGCAAGAAUGGCAGUUUCUUUUACUCGGUUUUCAUGGUGGUUAUGGAGUGGCAAGGGGAAAGAGCCUGUCUCAAAUGGUUCCUCGUUGAAUUCAUCUACUGAUUGGGGUUCUGGAUUCAGAGAGCUUGAUUCUGUUAAAUUCCCUGCAAGGAAUUUAGCCUCACCAAGAAAGGUUAAAAGGAAAUGGCAUAGUAGGGAAGAUAGGAGACAUGAUAAGCAGUAUGGUGAUGCAGUUUUGGUGCCAUCUGAUGGCGGGGUUUGCUUGUCAGGGUCGGAAUCCGAUGACCCAGAUUGGUCAAUCGGGUGGGUGGAGCCUCAUGGACCUGAUUUUAGAAGUGAUGAUGAGACUGAUGAUGGCUUUGCCGUGUUGGUUCCUUGUUACAGACCUGGUUGCAAGGAAUUAGUGGAAAAUUCAACUAACCAGCUUUUAAGUGCUAUAAAGAAUUUACCAAAUGAGUUCUCUUCUGGUAAAAUAUCUUCCUUUUUGCCUAUUUUUUUCAUCUUCUUGUUUGUUUCCGUAUUUGUGACGGUUGAAUUUAUUUUUUAAUUUUCAUUAUUAUUUUUUUUGGUGCUUUGACUGUGUUUGAAGUUUAAGAUUAGUGUUGAGAAUAGAGUGAUUAAGUUGUGGAUUUUGCCAAAUCUAAGGAUUAAGUUGUAAUUUAUCCCUGGAACUGUUUAUUGAUUUUGAGGAAUUUUGGUUGGGUGGUUAAUUGGUCUUGUUUCGAACAAAUCAUGUGGGCUGUUUUUGUUUGAUUUGAAAUUUUCCCCUAAAAUAUCUGCUAUUGUCGUGAUCUUUUGGUUUGCUAGUUGCAUAUUUGAAUAAGCUACACUAUAGUUAACAUUAACACACUAAUUGCAUCAAAUAUGUUUUCUGAAAGGCUUCUUAGAUCCUAUUUACAAGGCUAAGUAAAUGAACAUGUAAGGAAAUUAGGUAAAGUCCAUUUCAUUCUAUGCAGAUUGAGAGAUUAGAUGCUAAGUUACAAUUGGAAAAUGAUAUAUAAUGCUUAGAAGAAAGGAUGUUGAAUUCUAUAAACAAUGAAGCUUAAGUACGAGUACCCUUUUUGUGAAUAAUUGUAUGCCACAUGUUAUAAAUGGCUGUGUUUUCUGGAGUUUCAAGUGAGUUGAUUAUGACCAUUUCAUGAACAAUCCUUGCAAUCCAUUCGCAAGAUGUUCCAAGUCUGGCCUUCCCAUUUUAAAACCAUAGCCAUGCCUGCCUUGAACUUUAGUUCUGGAAUGGCUUAAAAGCCCAUGAGUACUUCUUUGAGAAGAAUAUGGUCAUUGUCCACAACCAUGGCAAUUAUAGACAAAGAGACAUGAAAUAUAGCAACCUAAUGGAUAACUCUCUGGAGACAUGUGGUAUCUGCCCUUCUGAACUUACAGGAAACUUUGUGAUGACAGUGAUAUACUGGAUGGAUGGGUUGGCAGGAAGGAGAUCUCACCAAGCCAACCGAUUAACAAUGUUAUUGCAAAAUUCCUAUCUGCAAGUUGUGUUGUACAUGAGUCUUUAAUGAUGCACUUGUUAUUAGACUGUUAUGGUUCAUAAAUUGUCUGUACUUAUAUCGAUUCAAUGUGUAUUUUUUCCCCCUUUUUUUUUUGCCUGUAAAGUCACUUCUUCAUUUUUGUGAAUUCAUUCCAGUGGAUGCCUUAUUCUACUACUUUAUUUGGGCCUAAAAUUUAAAAUGCACGCUAAGUUCUUUUUUCAUUGAAUAUGCAGAGGGAAAGAACUACAUGGAAUGGCUUUCUUCCUUCAGAAUUUCUCAAGUCUAGAGUUGGCUGGCGAUUGCUGGAACAGUCAUUGCAUGAUACAUUUCAAUUAGCCAGCCUGUUAUGAAAUUUAUUUUGUGAGUGAUAGAAAAAAUAGUCUAAUCAGCAAAAUUAUCUACGCACUACCUUCACACAUUGAAGUGCAAAGGAUUAUGUGCCAACUAUAUGCCGAUGCAAUCAAGCUGAUGGUAAUGUUGUCUAGUUUAGAGAAAAUGUUAAACUUAUUUAAUUUAGAGUUGAGUUAGAAGAAAGAUGUUUCUCAGCGCAUAUCAUGGUAUGCUAGUGAUAUUUCUAUGAGUAGAUGCUGAUCAACUGGUUGACAUGGAAAUAUGAGAUGGGAUGGGAUUUCUUUUUGUAAAUACUACUGCUGCUGUGAAUAUAUAUGCUUUUGAGCUUAUUAGUACUCGUAAAUAAUUCUUAUAUUUCCUGUUAAUCAGUGUUCAAUAUCAUAAUUUCAUACUUUCUGAUGUAUGCAAAAGUUUAUGUUCAUCCCCAUUUGUUUAUUUGGUAUAAUUUCAUAAUUUCUUUUUAUUUUCAUGUCUUGGACCCAAAGCUCAAACACAUUUUCGUAGCUUUCAGCUAAAACAAAUUGACCACUGGCCCAUCGAUUUGGAGAUUCUACCAUUUGAAUCUUUUUGAGUAGCUUGCUCUUCAAUAAUGGUCUCUAAGUUAAAGCCUACAUGUUUCAUCUUUUCUCAUAAUGAAGAGUAGCUCUGCCUUUUUUUCUCAAAAACCUUUCUCAUGAAAUUUCUUUAGUCGGCCUAUGAUAAAGACUAGAUAAAUUUCCUUUUGAUUUUAUACCUAGCAUAUCAUUGGCAAAAUA